rnacentral:rRNA from 1 species
UACGAAGGGGGCUAGCGUUGCUCGGAAUCACUGGGCGUAAAGCGCACGUAGGCGGCUUUUUAAGUCAGGGGUGAAAUCCUGGAGCUCAACUCCAGAACUGCCUUUGAUACUGAGAAGCUUGAGUCCGGGAGAGGUGAGUGGAACUGCGAGUGUAGAGGUGAAAUUCGUAGAUAUUCGCAAGAACACCAGUGGCGAAGGCGGCUCACUGGCCCGGUACUGACGCUGAGGUGCGAAGGCGUGGGGAGCAAACAGG